AGAAUCAACGCUGGCGGCGUGCCUAACACAUGCAAGUCGAACGCGAAAGGGACUUCGGUCCUGAGUAGAGUGGCGAACGGGUGAGUAACACGUGGGUGACCUACCUUCGAAUGGGGGAUAACGUCCCGAAAGGGACGCUAAUACCGCAUAACAUCCUGUCCUUGAACGGAUGGUGAUCAAAGCCGGGGAUCGCAAGACCUGGCGUUUGAAGAGGGGCCCGCGUCCGAUUAGCUAGUUGGUGAGGUAAUGGCUCACCAAGGCGACGAUC
rnacentral:rRNA from 1 species